UGGGAAAACCCNCAAAGGCCUAACCGAGC
rnacentral:piRNA from 1 species